UAAAAUAUAGCUUUAUCAGCAAUUAUAUUUUAUUUAAAAGACAUCAGAUAAAAUGGCAGCACAAGACAAAAAUCAUUGUGUUGAUGAGAAAAAAAAGCAAGUGCCUCUUUAUCCAGGAUUUCCAGAACUUGCUAGAUCUGAUGUCAGCAUAUACCCAUCAUAUACCAAGCUAGCUUUGGCUUAUCGUGUCGUUUGUCGUCAUCGUUACCAUUGGGCAAAGGUUGAUCAACGUCGCCAGUUUAUGAAUGAACUACACAGCUUUGAAAAGUUACAAGCAAAUGCCUUAGAUGGAGUUCGAGUUCACCGAGAGUUUUCUCAGGGUAUCUUAUCACAUAAAAUACCUCCAAGACGCUAUAUACAGAAGCUAACCCCUGAUCCUUUGACUUCUCACCAAAGAAUGAGGAUUGAAGAAAUUAUUAGCGGACAAAUCAAUUUCAGCCAAAAGUAAUUUUUUGUCAAUAAUGAAAAUCUUUAUAAUGGUGAUGAUUAUAUAAUAAAUAAUCUCAAAACAAAUCAAAACAAUAAUGGAACAAUAGGAUAAUACUAGAUAUCAACAUGACAUUGCUAUCAUUGUAGUGAGCCAAAAAAUUGAGAGUGCACAAGUACAAAUAUCUAGGGACAUGGCUUAAUGACACCUGGAGCUGUGAACAGGAGGAAAAAGGCUUGGCUGUGCAACAUCCGAGAAUAAACAAUUCGCAAAGAACAAGGACUGCCUGACUGACUG